UGGUGAAUGACAGUGCAAUUCUCCUCUGGCACACAGUCUAUGCUCAUAGUCAUACAUAAUUUGUUUGUGCCAAAGGAGAAUUGCCCUGCAAUUCACUA
rfam:Spinacia oleracea cultivar SynViroflay scaffold12125.con0005.1, whole genome shotgun sequence.